rnacentral:rRNA from 1 species
AUUGAACGCUGGCGGCAGGCCUAACACAUGCAAGUCGAGCGGAUGAAGGGAGCUUGCUCCUGGAUUCAGCGGCGGACGGGUGAGUAAUGCCUAGGAAUCUGCCUGGUAGUGGGGGAUAACGUCCGGAAACGGGCGCUAAUACCGCAUACGUCCUGAGGGAGAAAGUGGGGGAUCUUCGGACCUCACGCUAUCAGAUGAGCCUAGGUCGGAUUAGCUAGUUGGUGGGGUAAAGGCCUACCAAGGCGACGAUCCGUAACUGGUCUGAGAGGAUGAUCAGUCACACUGGAACUGAGACACGGUCCAGACUCCUACGGUAGGCAGCAGUGGGGAAUAUUGGACAAUGGGCGAAAGCCUGAUCCAGCCAUGCCGCGUGUGUGAAGAAGGUCUUCGGAUUGUAAAGCACUUUAAGUUGGGAGGAAGGGCAGUAAGUUAAUACCUUGCUGUUCUGACGUUACCAACAGAAUAAGCACCGGCUAACUUCGUG